UACAGAGGUCUCAAGCGUUGUUCGGAUUCAUUGGGCGUAAAGGGUGCGUAGGCGGCGCGGUAAGUCGGGUGUGAAAUCUUGGAGCUUAACUCCGAAACUGCAUUCGAUACUGCCGUGCUUGAGGACUGGAGAGGAGACUGGAAUUUACGGUGUAGCGGUGAAAUGCGUAGAUAUCGUAAGGAAGACCAGUGCGAAGGCGGGUCUCUGGACAGUUCCUGACGCUGAGGCACGAAGGCC
rnacentral:rRNA from 1 species